rnacentral:lncRNA from 1 species
GUGUUUUUCAUUUUGUUUAUAUUUGUAUAGGCGUAUUUGGAGGGGUAAAAGUGGUAUUUCCUGAGCCGCAGCAUGAUCUUUUGAAACACAGGUUCCACAAUGAACUCAUUCAGGUAGAGUGCUCUGAAACACGCCUCCCGUCUCGUUAUUGUUUGUUUGUCAGCUGUUGAAGACGCCACUUUUUGUGCAGAAAAACACUUUUUUUUGCCCUAAAUUGUACUCCCUUCAUUCCAAAAUAGAUGACCCUAUUUUAUACUCUUUCCUAAAUGUAAGUCUUUCUAGAGAUUCCAUUAUGAACCAUAUACGGAUGUAUAUAGACGCAUUUUAGAGUAUAGAUUCACCCAUUUUGUUUCGUAUGUAGUCACUUGUUGAAAUCUCUAUAAUGACUUAUAUUUAGGAACGGAGGAAGUACUAAAUUUAUACUAAAGUUAAUACAAAAUUGGAUCACUUAUUUUGAACGAAGGGAAUACAUGAACAAUUUUUUCAUGCCGUCAAAUAGGGUAAUUAUCAGAAAUGCUCUAACGUACAUAUGCAUGCUGGUAAUGAAAGUUACUUUCCAAUGACCAGCAUAACGCAUGUUUCACGUUUGCAGGGAUUGCGAUCGAAUUGUUUCUUAAGCGUGACGGCUGACAAACAUCCGACGCGGUUAUUGUGAUUACACUAGACGUUUCCUUCGUAAGUACUUCCUUCGUAAAGAAAUAUAAAAGCGUUUUGAUUGCUAUAAAGUACGGAGGAAGUAUUUGUACUCCAAACAGUUGGGUUUUGUACACUACGUGCUGGCACAAUACACUGUCGCAUCUAUUCUAUCAUCGUGUCAUGGAAGCCAAGUUUUUGCGUACCGGUCAGCUCUUUGUACUUGUGUGACAGGUACGACACAUUCGGUUUGCUUAACUCAUUUUGUCGCAAAGACUUUCGCUCCCGAUUUGCUCGUGCACUUCAUUCUUUUUCUUUGUAGAUAGAACACGUGUAUUUGUAGGCGUAUUUUGAAGAUGUGUUGAGUGACAUGAAAGUGACAUUGCGUGAACCGCCAGUCGAUCGGCAGCAUGAUCGAUCAGUGAGCGCAGAUUCCAGAGUGACCCCAUUCGGACUGGGUAGAGUGCUCUGAAACACGCCUCCCGUCCCGCAUCUGCAGAUAUACUUUUUUUAAGAAAAGGUUAAACUCCCGGUCUCUGCAUCAAUCGAUGUAUGCAGUCAUCUUUAUUAAUUAUUCAAUAAAGAUUUAAAAAGCAAAUACGUCAAUUCAUCUGAAGUCAGCACUCACACCUACAAACUCGAUAAUGUAAAGUGCUCUUAUAUCUAAAAUUGGUAUCGUCGUCGAUCCAUGCCGAAACUGGCCGCCGCCGCCCCGCGUCACUGCCGUAGGUCUGGCGGGCAUGGACCGCUGCCCCCCCUAACCGGAUCUGGCUGAGGAGAAACACCGCCGCCACCACUGCCGCACACAGACUUUGCAUGUGAGUCCUCCGGCGGCGGCGGUAGGGGAGAUGGCGUUGGAGAGGACCGGAGGAAGAGGAAGGGGGCGGGGGCGCUACGGUGCGGCGUGGCGGCGCCCCACGGGAGCGGGAGCGGGGUAGGGUUAAGGAGCCAUCUGCAGAUGUCCUGACGUGGCAAUAAUACAGAUGGACGUAACAUGAACGGAUGUUGAUCGUCGUUGAAAAUCAACAUAAUACUAAACUACCAAUGGUCCGCAUCUGGGCAUAGAUCAGACAUGAAUUACUAUUAAAAUGUUGAACCAAGGAAAAGAAAUUACUAAAACGAAAACGACCCGUACGAAGGAUGAUGCUUCCGCCGGUCAACCCUGCGUGCAUGACUCAAUCUGCAAUGCAGUGUGCGAUACGGCAGCACCAGGAACGCUAAUCCCAGUGCAUCUGCAAGCAUUGGCAUCUUCGCAACGAGGCCACAGACCAGUAACUAUUUACUACUAGCAGUAGUAGGACAGUCCUACCGAAGCACCCCGUUUUACAAAUUUGGUUGCCAUGCGUGCGGAAAGAUGAACCAUGUGCCGAAUGCGAUUCAGAUGUUACAGUCUAAUAAUCCCAAGAAAUGCUACGACUAGUUAGUUAGAUGCCUUUUUCUUUCCGAAAGAGUACAACCAUGUCCCUUUUCCCCAUCUUUUCCCCGUGUAGCCAUGUGGAUUCGGAGACUAUUAUCCCUCUCCUUUUCCACUCCCAUUUUCCUUCCCAGUUUGUGUAGUACAAAUCAUCACCAACGGAGCUCCUCCCUCGGUCAAUCCCCUAACCAUCUUCCAUCAUUUUUCCUUCACCCCUCCAAUCUCCUCCACCGAGAAGCUCCCGUCCCCUGCUCCUCGCCUUUCUCCGUCGCAUCAUCACAGAUCCUGUUGCGCACACACAAUACUCUUCUCCCAAUUGACCAUAUCUAUCUACCCAUCCAUCCCAUAGCAUUGCAUCACCUCCACUUCGCUCUCUUUCGCUUCACCUGCGUCUGCGUGAGUGCGUGUCUCGGUCGCCGUCUCCGUUUCCUAGCCGUCGGCCUACCGGCGGCAGAAAAGACAGCAGCCAAGCAAAGCCAGCCCGCUCGCCGCCGCGGACCGCGACGACGACCGUCUCGGGCCGUUCAACCCAAGCCCCGCCCCUGCCCCGCGCGGCCUCGUGUCUUUCCUGCGGCAUUCGUGGUUGGAGUGGUUGGGCGGAGCCCGCCCCCGCCCCCGCCCCGUGCCCCGCCUGCCGAUGGUGACGGCCGCCGGCGUAGCGUGUCGCGGCGCCAUGAAGGGUGAAAUUUUAUAUACCAUCGCCCCGGCUGAGGCCUGACAACCCAACCAGAUUUUAGGUAGUUACCUCUGUCGCUUGCCGCCCGCUGCCCGCCUCCCCCCCUUCGCUCCGCCACAUCUUCCGCCCGCUCGAACUCCUAGCGGUAGGAUAUAUCUGCCGCUUCCCCCUGGCUCCUUGCGCUUGUACUGUAUCUUCCUCCUCCCCGGUCCGUCGGUUCAUCCCCCUCGCCCCCUACUCCCCUUUCGGCUCGAGUUAGAUCAUCCAUCGGCUGUAAAGCGGGCGGGAGGCUUGGCUUCCGCGCGCGGGACGGGGCUCGCUUUCCGGGAGGCCGCCCCUGCGACGACAGCCGCGCCAUUUUCUAUUCCAGCGGAGGGAGGGGGAGGUUCCGGGUCGUAGUGGUGCUGCAUUGGCUGCGGUAAGCGGGGCUCGUAUCGGCCAACGGGGGAGGUCCACGGCGGUUAGUAGUUGAGCCGCCGACUGCGUGCUGUGGCGAGUGUUAUCUAUCGAUCGCCAUGGGGGGCAAGUGUGGUUCCUGGUGAUUCUCUCGAGCUGCCACUGGUGGGGGGAGCAUGGCGGGGGAGGGCGUCGGGCGGUGCAUACUGGUGGGGCUGCACAUGGACGCCGUCGGCAAGGAGCUUCUGCAGUGGGCGCUCAACCAGGCGGCCAGGAGCGGCGACCGCGUCGUCGCCGUCCACAUUUACCGCAAAUCCGGUAGGUACCCUGCCCCCUAUCCCAUCUCCUGUCCGUCAAAAACCUUUGCUUGCGUUGCAGCUCGACUCAUGGCAGCAUUUCCCUGUGCCUCGAAUCGAAGGAGACCUGUGCAAGACGAACGCGCUGACGCUGAUCAGGACGCUGGACGACUACCUGGCGGAGUACGAGGCCAUCUGCAGCAAGAAAGACGUGCGUAAGCAAGCAAGCACGAUGCCUUCACCGCCAUUAAUGUCGCUGGCGGUUGCGCUCAUGUGCUGGUAUUGAUGGUAUGGUUUCAUGUCCGUCAGAUCGUCCUCGUGGGGCGGGUCACGCCGGGGAGCUCGAUCCAGAAGGUGCUGGUGAAGGAGGCCAAGCUCUGCGCGGCCAUGGUGGUGGUGAUCGGCGCCAACAAGAAGUACUCCUUCGGGUCAGUCAGUGCCGAUGCUCACCUCUCACCUCCCAGCAGCAGCAAUCUUGGCGUGAUCCAACUGUUUGUUUUCUGCACGAUUCAUUAACGCACACACCAAAAGUAAUCGAUUAUUUUACCUGUGUGCUCGAUCAGUGGCUCGACCGGCCUCGCCAAGUACUGCGCCAGGAAGCUCCCGGCGACGACCAGCGUCGUCGCCAUCCAGGGCGGCAAGGCCAUCUUCGUCAGGGAGGCCCCCCGGCCGCCACUUGGUCAGUAGAGUACUGACUCCCGAUGUUAGCUGCGAAUUGAUUUCGGUUGGUGAGUGGGUGAUUGAUUGACGGAUUAAAGCGUUGGGUGGCUUCGUUCGUCGUCCUGCAGGAGCAGAGCCCAAGCCGGUGCUCCGCACGCUGCUGCACCCCAGCGUCGGCAUGGAGCCCAAGGUGAUCAUCCCCAACCCCAACCGCCGGAGCGCGCGGUCCAUGGACUUCGACGCCACGGGCUGCGGCCAGUGCGCCGCGCCGCCGCAGCCCAAGAAGCCCUGCGACGACCACGACGCCGCCGACGCCAAGGCCCUCGUCGUGCGCGUGCCGGCGCCAGAGCAGAAGCUCGGCUGGCCUUUGCUCCGGCGCGCGCCUCCCGCAGCGCAGGCCACGACGAGAGACCACGAGACGACGCGCAAGCAGUCGGUGGUGCACUGGGUGAUGAGCCUGCCGCGGCGCUCCUCGCCGUCGGCGUCCCCGGAACCGGCGCAGGAGGGGCUGGCGGCCGAGCUGAGGCGGGCGCUCGCCGGCGCGCCGUCCCGGUGCCGGUGGUUCCGGUACGAGGAGCUGUACGACGCCACGAACCACUUCUCCCCCGGCAACCUGGUGGGCAAGGGCGCGCACAGCCGGGUGUACCGGGGCGGGCUGGCGAGCGGGCAGCGGGUGGCGAUCAAGCUGUGCCGGGCGUCGGCGGAGGCGUCCAAGGACUUCCUCCGGGAGGUGGACAUCAUCACCAAGCUGCAGCACGGCCGCAUCGUGCCGCUCGUCGGCGUCUGCGUGGAAGGCCCCAACCUCAUCUCCGUCUACCGCUACCUCCCCCGCGGCAGCCUCGAGGACAACCUGCACGGUACGCCACCACGCUUGCACACCACGACAAACUACGCUACUGUAUUUUGGCUGCGUCGAUGGUCUACAGCGGCCUUGGGCAUGUGAUUUCGCAGGGAAGAAGAGGUCGAAGCCGGCGCUGCCGUGGGAGAAGAGGUACCGGGCGGCGGUCGGGGUGGCCGAGGCCCUGAGCUACGUGCACUCCGGCUGCUCGCGGCCGGUGAUCCACCGCGACGUCAAGUCCUCCAACAUCCUCCUCACGGACGACUUCGAGCCCCAGGUAGUACUGUGCUCUUAAAUUCAGGAAUAUACAGUUUGUUUGUCUGUGUUUUGUACUGACAGACGUGAACUCUGAACUGUGUACCGACGGUGGCAGUUGUCCGAUUUCGGGCUCGCGAUCUGGGCGCCGUCCAGCCCGUCGUCCCUCACGCACAGCGACGUCGUCGGCACCUUCGGAUACGUCUUCUUCUUGUACACAGACACGGACGAGUCUCUUUCGGUCUGAAGUGGCGCCGUGUUGGGGUGACGAAGAUCAAAAUCCUUGCGGGCGCAGGUACCUAGCGCCGGAGUACUUCAUGUACGGGAAGGUGACGGACAAGGUGGACGUGUACGCGUUCGGGGUGGUGCUGCUGGAGCUCCUCACCGGGCGGAGGCCCAUCACCGGCGACGGCUCACCGAAGGGCCACCACCAAAGUCUCGUCAUGUGGGUAAGCCCUCGCGAUCCCAAUCAAGCCCACAUAACCACCUCACUGUGUUACGUUGUUACCAUAUCAUUGUCUUUAUAAAAAAACGUUGUUAUCAUAUCAUCAUGCUCGUGUAGAGAGAGAGGGGUUGUGCUGACGCGGUUGGUCUGUUUGACGUGCGUGACAGGCGACUCCGAUCCUCAACGGCGGCGACAUCUCCGACCUGCUGGACCCGAGCCUGGACGUGAAGCACGACGAGGUGGAGGUGCGGCGAAUGGGCGUCGCGGCGUCGCUCUGCCUCGGGAGGUCGGCGCGCCUUAGGCCCCCGAUAUCGCAGGUCAGUCUCUCUCUCUUAGUGAGUAGCAGGCUCUUCUUCAGAAGAAGAGGGAAAAUACGUCUCUCUCUAUCUGAGUAGCAGGCACUUCAUCUUCAGAAGAGGAAAAAAUAACAUUCUCGUGCCGAUUGCUGUGUGUUGCAGAUUCUGAGCAUACUACGAGGAGAAGAGGACGCGACGAGCUUGGCGGCGUCGGAGCCGGACUGCGUGGUGGACGACGAGACCUACCCGGCGGCCAACGUGAGGUCGCACCUAGGGCUGGCGCUGCUGGACGUGGAGGACGCCGAGUCCAUCUCCAGCACCGAGCACACCAACCUCAGCCCGCUCGAGGAGUACCUCAGAGAACGCUGCAGCCGAUCAUCCAGCUUCGAUUGACCUUUGAUUUUUUUUCCCUUUUCUUCUCCUUUUUGGAUGAGUUUGGUUGUCUUUUGUUGAGUUACAAACUCAUGUACAUAACAUAAACAAAGCAGGUGCCACAUUUCCGGCACCCAGGGACAUGAUAGCCAAUAGAUAUGCCACCCACAGAGAAAAAACAAAGUGAAAAAUGGAACGGAUGCCUUUCAGUGUGCCUGAUGCUGUAAUUCGGACACAAAGCCACGAUUCCUCUCAGUUUAUCUGAAUGAUGUAUUCAUUUCAGGGGUAACAAGAUUGUCAUACAACAUUACAAUAACCUUAAAACUCAAGGUUCAAGGUUGUCCGUAGAUCAAUUGCUUGGAAACCAAAAAUAGAUUAACAACACUACAGAAGGUUGCCAAAUCCAUCGUCCUGGAAAAGAAAAACUAGGAAACAAAGCUGGAAAACUGCCGUGGGGGAACACUAUCUCCCACACCGGCACAGCUAUCUCCCAACAUCUCUUCUACUUCUCAUCUAACCUCAGUCUUCCUACACAAACCUAAAAGGGAACAACAUAUGGCAACUGAUACAUAUGAAGGUCAGGCAGAUGAAUAGCCCUUGGUUGCCAUGAAAACUCCACCUCCAUGGGCGCCAAACCAUCACUUGCCUUGCAGCUGCUGUUGCUGGCAUCAGGUUUCUUUGCACCGCCGAGCAACCAAUCCUGGUCGCCGAGAUUCCCGGUCUCCUCAACCUCCAAGGAAGGUGGAUUCCAGGUAACAAAAAGAUCUCGGAAUUUCCUCUCUUUCUUCUCUUCCUUCUCAGCCUUGCGGCUCUUCUUACGAUCAGACUUUGACUGCUUAACCUCUGGUAUUUUUUCAGUCUUCCUGCCAGAGGAACAAGGCUCUUCUUUCGCCAAGGUGCUUGACUGCUGCUGUUUGAUGAGGGGAGAGACUACAGGCACCUUCGGUUUGUGCAGAACGGGCUGCAGCUGCCUGUCUGGCUGGUGGGAAGAAGCAACUUUUAUUGUUUCCUUCGGCAACACAGGCAAACUCUGUGGAGGAGCAUCUCUUCGGAGCACCUUGGAUGGCACCAGAGGAUCAACCUUUUGCAGCGCCUUUGCAGGAGGAAUGUCAAUAACCUUGGCAGGAGGAAUGUCGACUCUCUGUGCCGCCUUGGCAGGAGGAAUGUCGACUCUCUGUGCCACCUUAGCAGGUGGAGGAACAACUCGUCGUGUCAGCUGCGUAGGCAAAGGAUCAGCACUUCCUUUCACCUUGGCAGAUGAAGGUGUAGCAUUAACGGGCACCCAGGAAUCUAUCUUUUGCAUGAUCUUUGCUGAGGUUGGGGCAUCUAUCUUUGGUGUGAUCUUCGCUGUGGUUGGGGGAUCCACCUUUGGAGCAAUAUUUGUCAUGGAAGGAACUCUUUGCAAGAUCAUUGCAGGGGGUUUUACAUCCAUUUGUUUUGGCACAGAUUGGGUAUCCCUCUUGAUGCUUUGCUGGAAACCGGCAGCUGACUUUACCAUAACAUCCCUGCGAGGUUGAACUGCAUUCUGCUUACUCAACAAGGAUGAAGGUGUAGCCAUUUGUUGGACAGGUUGUUGCGGAAGAACCCUAGAACCAUCCAACAUGGCUGACGGUGAAUCCUGAUCUCUUUUUAUCUUAAUGCGAAGUACCGUCCCUGCAAAAUCAUAAUUCAUGGUCAGUAACUCUAGAAGAGAAUGAUUACUAAAAUCAACAGAAACCUAAAAAUAUGGCCUGAAAGCCUCACCAUUCUUAUUUUGACUAGGGCCUGGGAGCACCACCUUUCUUCGCUUACUGCUGUCCUGAGAGCUCUCUGGUGAUCCAUGUACUGUCUGAAUGAAAGAAGGGGCCCCAUACUCUUCUGAGAGUCCACUCUUCUCCAACUGAUCAAAUAGUUCUUUGGGUGCAGUUUUGGACUCCAGGCCGGCUAUGCUGGUAUCUUCAUGCUUUCUCUUCUUAUGGCUACGUUUUGAAUGUUUUGUCUCACCACCACCCUGAUGGGAAGCUUUCUUGUCAUUCCUUUUCUCUUUCUUCUUUUCGGCCCUUUCCCUUUCUUUCUGGAGCUUCAGCCACCAGAUUAAUCGUCAGUUCUGAUUUAGAACAGACGAUGGCAAUGCAAUGCAGCAUAUUGCAGUAUGGUAAUGAAGUUUCAAACUUACACAAGCACACACAUAAAUAAUGCAGCACUAACACAGAAGUGCUACAAGUUACAGUUAGAAAUUAAUACAUGAAUCUUUCCACAAAUAAUAAUUCAGUACCCUUGAUAUAUACUCUGUAUAUUCUUUACACAGUUAUAGUAGAGUCAAAGGAAUUAGAGCACAUCAAAAUUGGCACAACUACUAAUGACACUACCCAGAAGACGUGUUAGCAAGCAGAGAACAGUUGACAGAAAACAUAGCAAUUGUGCUGCAAGGAAGUCAAUUUUAAGACAUCAAAUUCCAGAGCAGAGACAGCAAAAUAGACCACAAAGAAAACUUUAGACAAGAAUACAUGUACAACUCAAAUGGCAAGUGUCAAGAUUGUGAGACUACACACACAUGAACAAAAACAAACAAGAUAGCAAACAGGACAAGGCAAGUAGCGCCAAUAGAACCACACAUAAGUGACAUCACAAAGUGAGCACACUAAUUGGUGGUUAAUUGGUGCUGGUAACCGAAUCCAAGCAAGAGAAAGCCCAGGAAAAUAUGAAUUUUCUCAUUGCUAAAUUUGGACGGAUCUCCGGAAGUACUUUUCACAGAGAAUUUAGUCUCAAAACUAGCAAUGCGAUUGACAAAUCAAGACAUCAUGGGCGUCAAUCUGGGUACAGAAUCAAUCAAUCAAAUACUGUAGGCAUGUAACAAUGAAACUGGAAGGCGCAUCUGACAGACCACGUUUUGUUCGCAUUCAGGUUAUUUCCAAUUUAAGCACGCAAUCGAGGUUAGCAGGCUCGAGAUCGGGCCGCGGGGUUAGGUCAGCAGAAACAGGCAAUCGAUCUAACCGACGCAUCGGCGGCAAGGCUAGCCUCCCCCCGCAUGCGAUUCCCAAAUCGCACGCGCACACCCAACAGAUCUGAUCGGAACCAACAGGCAAGAACACAUGAUCCGAGGACGUGCGUGUUGUAAAUCCGAUGGUUCAACAAACCUUAGCGGUCGUCUCCGCCACGGGAACGGGGGGCACGGCCACUGGGUUUCGCACGUAGCCCGGCGGCGGGUAGGGGAAGCACCUCGACAUGGCGGCCGGUGUGAAUCCCGCGGCGCGGCGCGCGAACCCUCGGAAUCAAGAGCGCGACGGCAAGGCCCGCCCUAAUCGACCGCGAACCGAAGGGAAAUUUCGAUUCGCGGGAGGGAAAUCCGGCGGAGCGGAUUGGGGCCUCUCGGCGGGAGGGAUUUGGCUCUUGUGUGGCGGCUAGGGUUUCACGGGGAGGAGAGGGGAAAUUUUAGCGGCGGCUACGCGAGAUGGGAACGGAAGAAAAGGGUAGCCUCUUCGAGGGUCCGGGGGUUGGGCGGUAUAUAUAGCCGGACGGGAGGUGCCCGAGUCGUGCGGGGAACUGGCGGGUCCGCCUCGCCUACCUAUCGGGCCUCUACACGGAGUCGCUGACGGGUAGGGCCCAGAUCCCGCGGGGCCCGGUGGCAGCGAGGGGCGCGGGCGGGGGCCGCCGCGCGGCGAUGCGUGUGGGGCACGGCAAGCGGCGCGCUCUGAUUGGCCAGGCCGCGCGGUGGCCCACCUAGCGGGGAGCGAGCGGGGGUGGCGUGUUCGCGUUGCACACGAAACGUGUUCGCGUGGUGGGCCCCCCCGCGGCGCGGAACCGACCUAGAAGGUUAUAUAGAUGGUUAAAAUUAUCAGAUUCACUGCCUACUUAUGUUAAAUUCAUGCAUGGUAAAAUUGCCAUGAAAAUAUAGAGGGUUAAAAUUUGUAGAAAAUUUUCCAUGAUUUGGACCAUAAUAACAAAAGAAAAAAAGCCUAUGUGUGGUACGAAACUUCAUAUUUAAAAUUGAGCUAUCACGCUUUAGGUCAUUAGAUAUUAGAUAGAAAAAACAAAGAGUCUCUCUAGAGCACAUAUAGAUGUGCCCUAGUUAUUGCACAUCUAAGUGACUAAAUCGAGCGCAAAAAAAAAAGAAAAGGAAAAAGUUACCCACAUGAAUCUCCGCGUAAGAUCAAUGACAUAGAAUUUAGAUGUGCAAUACUUAUGGCACAUCUAUAUGUGCUUUAGCAAAACUGAAAAAGAAAAUCCAAAAAAAAGUUUUAAGUUAGCAUAACAGUGGGGUAUGUUUGACCAUAAGUUUGCUUUAUAUAAAUGGCAUGCAUGAGAAACUAAAUAUGGCAUAUGUUAAAACAUGAAAAGAAAAUUAACGAUUAUGUUUCAACCUAAAUUGUCAUUGUUUUGUAAAGAUGAUGGCCAAAAAUUGAAUUUUUUUUUAUGAAAAUAGUCUCAUGAAACAAUUUUGCCAUGUGGAUAUUCAAAAAAUAAAUUUGCCACGGUGUAAAUAAUUGAAUUUACAAUGGUUUGUGCAACAUUUUUUCCAUGUUCUGAAAAUAUAAUUGACCAUGGUCCAAAAUAUGAAUUUUCUAUGGUACCAAAAAUAAAUUUGCCAUGGCCAAAUAUAUAAGUUUUCCAUGACAGAGAACAAAAAGCAAUUUGUUGUGGUCCAAAAAAGAAUUGUCGUCGAUUGUUUGAUAUAAUUUUCAUGUAUUGUUAGAAAACAUGAUAGAGGAAAUUUUACAACACAUUGUUUGAUAAAUUUGCCGUGCUUCAAAAAGAAAAUUAUAAAAUGGUUAAAAAGCUUAAUUUGUCGUGGUUCAUAAAGUAUAUUUGCCAUCGACUGUAAACUAAAUUUGCCACAGUCUAUAAAGUGAACUUGCCAUGGUGCAAAAAAAAUUGACAUGGUCCAAAAUAUCAUGACAAAUUUGAUUGCCAUGGUACACAAGUUUGCUGUUAGAACUCCAGAAUCUGGGGUCCACUAGUUUACAAAAUGUAGUUGCCAUGUGGCAUAAGAAACAUUUUUCAAAGUUGCCAUGCGUGUGGAACAAAAAAUUCAUAUAGCUGCCAUGUGAGCAUUAACAUAUUUUUCUGAAAUUUGCCAUGAGUGGGAACAAAAAAAAUCCUAGAAUUGUCAUGUGAUAUUUAAAAAUACUUUCUAAAAUUGUUGUGUUUUGGAAAAAAAAAGAUGUUUCAAAAUUGUGACGUGACCAUAAGAAACCUUUUCUUUUGGCCAUUUGUGGAGAGCAAAAAAUCCUAGAGUUGUCUUGCAAGCGCUAAAAUUUCCUACGUUUGUCAUGUGACUCUUAGCAACAUUUCCUGGAAUUGUCAUGUCUUGCACACCAAAUAAGCGAAAAUUGCCAUGUAAAACAAGUUUUUUUGCCUUGUGAAACAUUACCAUAAUGUGUAAAUUUUGUGAUAGCGGCUAAGGUGUCCCGCCUUCCGAGCAGAUGGUGGCUAUAGUUUUUGGAGUAGACUUUGACGAUCCGAGUACGAUCGUGCGAGGACGUCGCGCCUUAGCAAUCGCUAAACCAACUUCAAGAGGUUAUUGACCACGCCAGAGCACAAUCAAUCUGAUCAACUCCGAGAGGUGUCCCGCCUUCCGAGCAGAUGGUGGCUAUAGUUUUUGGUAGAGUAGACUGACGAUCCGAGUACGAUCGCGCGAGGACGUCGCGCCUUAGCAAUCACUAAACCAACUCCGAGAGGUUAUUGAUCACGCCAGAGCACAAUCAACCUGAUCACGAGGGUCUGUUUCCUGCACGCAAACGAAGAACAAACAAGAAACUAGAAUUGCAAUCUGGAUAUUGCGAAUAUAAAUGAACACUUUAUUAAUGAAGGUGGGGUUUUGUGACGUCUUUGUUUGGUCGUUGAACACAAACAAAGUACGCGAAGUUGCAGCUAUGGUGAACUUUUAAUCUAAACAAAACCCAAAGUCCAAACGAUGCACUAAGUGUUGUAUAUAUGGAGGAAUAGGGGGAAUUUCAUGACCCCUUGGAGGAGGGGUCCGAAACCAACCCUAACUCCGUUUCCCCAUGCAUACGGACUCUAAUAAUAGCCUAUAGUGAAGUAUUUUAAAAUUACAUGGGCAUGUCCCAAUAAUAAGGUGACACAACACCUAUAAUAGCCUUUGGAUGAAAUUUAUGAAAUGACAUCUUGUAUAUUUUGUCCAAUCCUUCAUGCACUCAUUAUGGUGGCUUCAAAGUCCUGAAAUCAUCACUUGAAACUCCAUUCUUGUUCCCCUUGCGCAUGCCAUUAUCUCCAUGCUUGAUCUUGCUCCAAUGUUCAUCCUUCUUGUCCAAGCUAGGCCCUUCAUUUGUAAACAAAACAAAUGUAUCCAAUUUAGCCAGCAUCAUAUUCUCACGAACAUUAGAACUGUUAUCAAGAAAUGAAAGUACCCGGUAAUUUAAUUGGCGUGCGCGAGCUUUAGUAAUUGGUCUGGUAUGUAUAGUGAGUGUAACGAUGGUAUUGAUGUCUCCAUCAAUUUGUCAUGUGACAUGCUUUCGAAUUUCAUCAACUUUGCCAGGUAGACAUUACAGAAACCUAUGGACUUCCCAUGUACCUAGCACAAAAAUACCAUGGCAUGUAGAAAAACCCACAGAGAAUUUGCCAUGAGAAUAGUAAUGUUUACUUGUAAUCACAGAAGGAAUUUGCCAUGGCAAAAUGUUUUCACACACACACACACACACACACACGCACGCACACGCGCACGCGCGCGCGCACACACACACACACACCGUGUAUGGAGGAGGGCAAGUGAGAUGGAAGGACACUCACUGUCGCAGUUGUGGUAGGCCUCACACCGACGAACUAGCCGGUGAUGCUCAAUCGGCGUGCACACCACACAACGGUGUCUUGUGCUCCUUCGUGAGGAAGGAAACCACAUCAGGGAGAGGGAAGAAGAGCGAAUCGUCGAAACCAAACCAAGGGCAAGCGCGGGGCAGCCACAUAGAGAGGAGAAGAAAGGCAAGAGAGGGAAAGGGGACCUUGACGUCGACUCCUAGAUUUCUUUGAUCUCGUGCAUUUGCAACGUGGUGCUUGUAAUUUUCCCAAGAGGUUGCUAUGGCUUGGAGGCUCAUCAGGUCUAACGGACUUUCGUCCUUCUGCUAUGGCUUGGAGGCUCAUCAGGUCUAACGGACUUUCGUCCUUCGACUCCUAUAGGCGGCUUUCGCUAUCGCUCCUGACUUAGUAUAGAAACCGGUAUAAAAGACAAGUGCCCAUCCUCAACUCCAAGAAAUGGGAGUGAAAUUCAUUCCAUUCCGUAUAAGUAAGUUGAUAUGAUAGGCUUUUCGGCACCAUCCUAUGAAAGGCUCUCACCUAGCAGGCCUCUUUGACCCAUGGCGUUGGCAGAGGAGCACGGACCAGGAACCGCACAUUCGUGUCGUCGUCGACCAACGUGGCGGUAUUUUCAGGGUCGUCGCCGCCACCGAAUAGGUCCUCCUUGCCGUCGUCGACUUCCAGGCCAACAUUCUCAAUGAAGUUCGACAACUGAGUUGGAAGUGGGGGGUUAGGACGCUAGGGGGGCGGCAAAAGUACUGACCUCAUUGUCAAUAGGCAAGAAAGAAAACAUUUCAAAGAUAUAAAUCUAUUUUUUGAAAAUAUAAAGGUUUUGGGGGUCUGCUAGAUGAGCUAAAUUCCCCAAACCAAAAACAUUCCCCCAUUUAUUAUAGUCAUAAGCACGGGUCUGCUUCAUUUCUCUGAAAUCGAAGAGCAAUCCAUAACCAUCCAUGGGACGUCAUUACAGCCAUUACUCAUAAUACAGACCAACAGAAGUUGUUGGCUAACUAAACAGCUGAUCAUAUUCCUUCAGGAUGAGAGCAAACCAAAACGGUAUGAACCUACAAGGAAAUAGGAACAAGUUCCAAUUCACAGGUUAUAGAAUCCAAAUAAGACACUUCUGGAUUUGACAGACAGCAAUAGCAAAGCUGCAGAUUAUAGCAGAUAGACUGAGCAGAACAAGCACAAAGAUAACCCACGACAUGAGCAAUCGCACACAAGCAGCUAGUAGUUCCCAAUUCUCAAACUCAUAAACCAUUACCCGUUACAACAUUUGUUGAGUCUAGGGAGAAAUUCAACUGCCAUGACACAUGUGUCUUAUGGAUUACACAAGUCACAAAUAUAAGAAGACGACAUAAUGGCAGCAUGAUUUAACAUAACAGUCUUGCAAAAUAUAGCUGAAAAAACACAAAGACCUAGUAGACAAGACACCAUCACCAGUCCAAGCCUCUGAAAAACUGUGUCGCAGAGGCCCAUCACACUGAAAGGUCUUGAUAAAUCAUAUGAGAAGCUUCUCGAUAGCAUCCUGUGAUUCACAAAAUUUAAAACAGGGUCAAUUUUCGGAGAAAG